CAUAAUCUCACAUAGUAAUAUACAAAAUGUCAGCGCAAUAUGAAGAAGUCAUAGCUGAAGAGGAAGAAGUCUCACAAAAUCCAAUUAAUUAUAUUGUUUUCUUCUUUGAGAAUUACGGAUGGUAUCUGCCUAUAUCUACAGCAGAAUAAGUCCAUUAGUCUCGAAGAAUAUGAAAAGAAAAGGGAUAGAUAUGAAAACUGAUAAAUUUUCAAGUCUAAGAGUUGCCAGGGAAGAAGCACUGAAGAACAAGAA